CACAAAGUAGUCAUCCGCUGUAGUAGUGCGGCAUUGCCAUCAGUGGUUGCAUUGACGGUUUUAGUCGCUAUAUUGUUUGGAUGAAGGCCUAGACCACAAACAAUGACCCCAGGGUUAUUGCCGACUACUUCGUGUCAUCUGCUGCACGCUUGGGAGGAUGCCCGGAGCGUCUGCGUGCUGACAGAGGAACGAAAAAUGGACACGUCGAGAUUAAAGUCGACAUGACAUUUAAACUUUAUCCUCGACAUUUCGAGUUUAAUGUCGACAUGUUGACUUUAAAGUCGACGUGUCGAUUUUAAUCUCGUCACGGCGAAAAAAAACAAAAUCUUCACGUGUGGCCCUAAUACUCCGUCGUAGUAACUACAUUGUAAAAAGUAUCAAUAAUAUAUUUUUGUGUGCACUAUUGCACCUGCAUUAUUUCUUAUGCUCGAUGUCUUCUUCUCAAAAUGUUACAGACAGGUGAAGUUAAGCUAGCAGUUUGAAUCACUUACCUGGAAAAUGCGGGCGAUCCUGUCGACACGCAUAUCGUCCAUUUUAAGAGUAAUUCUCUUGUUCCCUCUGAACAGCACAAACGUCUCCAUUUUAUCCGACGAUUAGGCUUAUUCUGUUUGUUAAGUUAUUAGUUAGUUUUAUUCAAUCAAUCCUGCACGGCCGGGAUAUCUGAAGGGGAAGAGGACGGUGGAGGUCGCUCAAAGCGCAAACUUUUUGGCGGAUUGCUUCUGCGCAUGACAGAAUGUGAAAAAACCCGCCAAAGCAAAAGAAGAAGAAGACGGUAGGCGGUUAGAUGAAAUGGAGUCCAGUUUGUCACCCUACCGAGAAAUAAUUGAAAGUAUGCUCCGAAACGGCCAUUCUGAUGAAGAAAUUUCCAGUCAUCUCCACCUGGAAUGUGGAUUGACUUUUUUUUUUUUGCUUUGGAAAGGCUUUUCCAAAGCAAACAUUCGUACAUUUUCCGCACAAAACGGUAUAGGAAGAGAACGAUUGCAGGACUCCAAACUGGAGAGCGAGAUUGCUCAAGCAAUUAAUGAGACUGGACCAUCAUAUGGAAGAAGAAUGAUGACGGGCUACCUGUCCUCCAAAGGUAUCAGAGCAUCUGAGGGGCGCGUUGGUAGUGUCCUCAGACAUAUUAACAGGCCAUAUCAUGCAGAUCGUCAUCAGAGAUCAAGGAACUUAAAUCCAGUGCCAUACAGUGCCGAGUGCAUGGGUCACAAACUGCACUUAGAUGGUGAUGUUCGGGGUGACCCAUGUCCUUGCUGUUGACGGUUUCUCCAGUAAAAUUGUCAGCCAUUCCACUAUGCCUGUCAAAAACAACCUGACAAUAUAUCAAGAGGUGUACAGAAGUGCUGUCCUACAGCACAGAAUGUGGGACCAAAUACGAGUGGACCACGGAAGAGAGUUUUUCUUGACUCUUUUCAUGCAGGAGAAAUUGGCAGGCUACAGAAAUAACACAGCAAGGGAGCCGUACCUGCAAACAUCGUCAACACAUAAUCAUAUAAUUGAAAGGAUGUGGCCAGAUGUUAAUAACAGGGUAAACCACCCUCUGAAAAAGGGCUCUCAUCCACCUUGUAGACCAGGAGGAACUCAACAUGGAGGACAACUUGACACGGUAUUGUGUGUCCACGCUUACCUGUCAGGUGGCUCAGAUUGGACUUGACCGGAUGGUGCAGUCCUGGAAUGCACACAGGAUCCAAGGCAAGGGCAUCCCAGAUCAACUGACUCUGGGUGGAUGCCCAAAGAAAGCGCCAGCAGAUUGUCUGCCAGAGGCUGCAGGAGCUGCACACACUUACCUGCAGGAAGUGGGGUCCUCUUUGACACAAGUGUCAAUGUUUGGGAGAAAUCCAUUCUCCACAGCUGAAAACCAGACAGUAGCUGAACAUGAAUUUGCACAGCAGUACAGCGACGUUUCGGAAUUCUAUAACCACACCGUCAACUAUGAACCAACCCAUUUCCAAAAUGGAAUUAGGGAUCUUAUUGACAUUGUGAGAAGACAUGUGUAGCCUGAUCUGUCGGAUCGCAGAAGCUAUGCAGGGUCUGGCCUGGAGCUUCCUGUAUGUUAGUUGAGAAGUUUUUUUUUGAUGUUCUAAUGUUGCGUUGUUAAUGUGUUAGACGGCUUAGAUGUUCUUAGAUGUUUUGUUAACCUGAUUCGUCUCUCACUCUGUUCAAAUAAAAGU
ensembl:lncRNA